rnacentral:rRNA from 1 species
UACGUAGGGUGCAAGCGUUGUCCGGAAUUAUUGGGCGUAAAGAGCUUGUAGGCGGUUUGUCGCGUCUGCUGUGAAAUUUCGGGGCUCAACCCCGAACUUGCAGUGGGUACGGGCAGACUAGAGUGUGGUAGGGGAGACUGGAAUUCCUGGUGUAGCGGUGAAAUGCGCAGAUAUCAGGAGGAACACCGGUGGCGAAGGCGGCGACCUGGGUAGAUACUGACGCUCAUGCACGAAAGCGUGGGGAGCAAACAGG